rnacentral:rRNA from 1 species
AUACGGAGGGUGCAAGCGUUGUUCGGAAUUACUGGGCGUAAAGCGCGCGUAGGCGGUCUGUUAUGUCAGAUGUGAAAGUCCUCGGCUCAACCGGGGAAGCGCAUUUGAAACUGGCAGACUUGAGUACUGGAGGGGGUGGUGGAAUUCCCGGUGUAGAGGUGAAAUGCGUAGAUAUCGGGAGGAAUACCGGUGGCGAAGGGGACCACCUGGCCAGAUACUGACGCUGAGGUGCGAAAGCGUGGGGAGCAAACAGGAUUAGAAACCCCAGUAGUCC